GUGAAAGUAAGUGUUCUCUGAUUGCCCCCCAAAAAGGAUGUGAAAAAUAAGGUGUCGGCAUCCGCGAGGCGUCUGCCUAUACAUGUGUAGAAAAGUUGUUUCAGGCGAGUCACUGCCCCCAAAGCGUGAAUCAAUGCAACAGCACGCGUGUAAAGUGCUGAAAAAUGUUUUUUAAGUUUUAAAAAAUUCUAAUAGAAAAGCAAAGGCAUCACAGUGAAAAACAUUUCGAUUGGUUGAAGAGAGAAAAAACAUCCGAGUGAGGACAUUUAACGAUGACGUAACUCUUGAAAUUGUUUGAUAUCUACGAUUUAAAAAACGCCCAAUAAUGGGAAAAUGUCCUUAAAGAGCUGACGGCCGCCCGUUAGCGGCAUGUGUCCGAACGUCACGCGCACAAGUGAUAAGAGUUCAUCAUCACAUGAUCUAAGAUUAUUGUUUUGAUUACACAGUCUGUUCAGACUGAAAAAUAAAAGAAUCAGGUGUCUCCCGUUCGUGUGAUGCUCGCUUACAAUUUUUAUCGCAUCGUGCUUUAGCGUGGCCGCGUCACGCGCCCAAUCGAAUUCUGUGCAAGAAAUGAUGAAGGGAUUAAGCGUACACGGUGACCCCGCCCCCUACCCUAUCUACUUUUGAUAAAUCAGGUCAAUCUUAAGACUCUCACAUGUUUAAUUUGAAUCACGCGCUACGUGAUUACUCGUGAUAAUUGGGACAGAAAAAGUGCAAUUUCUCCUCGCAAAAAAAAAAGGAAGAUUGAAUUCACUCAACUCCAUUAUCUGGUCAUGACUAAGGAAAACUGUGUUAUAGAAUUUUAAAAGCUGUUUAACACAUAAAAGAAUUUUUAAAAAUAAAAAAAAGGAAGGCGUUUUUGACUUGGCAACAACACGAUCACGACGUAAAACUUCACCCACCUUCAACCCUGCGGCAUCUACCCCAAAAUGUGACCACUCCUGUUAGCUGCGAAGCCCUGCGGCUGUUGUGAACGUCAACAAGGUCAUCGGCACCCGAAAGGAAGCAAAUGUUUCCACCCCAAAAAAGGAUUCUUUUCUGAAUACAUAAGGUCAAGUUAUAAACGGAAUACAAUAAAAGUUGGUUCAACUUUCAUGUUUA